GGCGGCAGGCCUAACACAUGCAAGUCGAGCGGAAACGAGUUAUCUGAACCUUCGGGGAACGAUAACGGCGUCGAGCGGCGGACGGGUGAGUAAUGCCUAGGAAAUUGCCCUGAUGUGGGGGAUAACCAUUGGAAACGAUGGCUAAUACCGCAUAAUGCCUACGGGCCAAAGAGGGGGACCUUCGGGCCUCUCGCGUCAGGAUAUGCCUAGGUGGGAUUAGCUAGUUGGUGAGGUAAUGGCUCACCAAGGCGACGAUCCCUAGCUGGUCUGAGAGGAUGAUCAGCCACACUGGAACUGAGACACGGUCCAGACUCCUACGGGAGGCAGCAGUGGGGAAUAUUGCACAAUGGGCGCAAGCCUGAUGCAGCCAUGCCGCGUGUGUGAAGAAGGCCUUCGGGUUGUAAAGCACUUUCAGUCGUGAGGAAGGUGGUGUUGUUAAUAGCUGUAUUAUUUGACGUUAGCGACAGAAGAAGCACCGGCUAACUCCGUGCCAGCAGCCGCGGUAAUACGGAGGGUGCGAGCGUUAAUCGGAAUUACUGGGCGUAAAGCGCAUGCAGGUGGUUUGUUAAGUCAGAUGUGAAAGCCCGGGGCUCAACCUCGGAAUAGCAUUUGAAACUGGCAGACUAGAGUACUGUAGAGGGGGGUAGAAUUUCAGGUGUAGCGGUGAAAUGCGUAGAGAUCUGAAGGAAUACCGGUGGCGAAGGCGGCCCCCUGGACAGAUACUGACACUCAGAUGCGAAAGCGUGGGGAGCAAACAGGAUUAGAUACCCUGGUAGUCCACGCCGUAAACGAUGUCUACUUGGAGGUUGUGGCCUUGAGCCGUGGCUUUCGGAGCUAACGCGUUAAGUAGACCGCCUGGGGAGUACGGUCGCAAGAUUAAAACUCAAAUGAAUUGACGGGGGCCCGCACAAGCGGUGGAGCAUGUGGUUUAAUUCGAUGCAACGCGAAGAACCUUACCUACUCUUGACAUCCAGAGAACUUUCCAGAGAUGGAUUGGUGCCUUCGGGAACUCUGAGACAGGUGCUGCAUGGCUGUCGUCAGCUCGUGUUGUGAAAUGUUGGGUUAAGUCCCGCAACGAGCGCAACCCUUAUCCUUGUUUGCCAGCGAGUAAUGUCGGGAACUCCAGGGAGACUGCCGGUGAUAAACCGGAGGAAGGUGGGGACGACGUCAAGUCAUCAUGGCCCUUACGAGUAGGGCUACACACGUGCUACAAUGGCGCAUACAGAGGGCAGCAAGCUAGCGAUAGUGAGCGAAUCCCAAAAAGUGCGUCGUAGUCCGGAUUGGAGUCUGCAACUCGACUCCAUGAAGUCGGAAUCGCUAGUAAUCGUGGAUCAGAAUGCCACGGUGAAUACGUUCCCGGGCCUUGUACACACCGCCCGUCACACCAUGGGAGUGGGCUGCAAAAGAAGUAGGUAGUUUAACCUUCGGGAGGACGC
rnacentral:rRNA from 1 species